rnacentral:rRNA from 1 species
ACUCCUACGGGAGGCAGCAGUGGGGAAUAUUGCACAAUUGGGCGCAAGCCUGAUGCAGCCAUGCCGCGUGUGUGAAGAAGGCCUUCGGGUUGUAAAGCACUUUCAGUUGUGAGGAAGGUGGUGUCCGUUAAUAGCGGCAUUAAUUUGACGUUAGCAACAGAAGAAGCACCGGCUAACUCCGUGCCAGCAGCCGCGGUAAUACGGAGGGUGCGAGCGUUUAAUCGGAAUUACUGGGCGUAAAGCGCGCGUAGGCGGACUAGAAAGUUGGGGGUGAAAUCCCGGGGCUCAACCUCGGAACUGCCUUCAAAACUCCUAGUCUAGAGUUCGAGAGAGGUGAGUGGAAUUCCGAGUGUAGAGGUGAAAUUCGUAGAUAUUCGGAGGAACACCAGUGGCGAAGGCGGCUCACUGGCUCGAUACUGACGCUGAGGUGCGAAAGCGUGGGGAGCAAACAGGGAUUAG